CUUCUCCGAUACCCCCAAACCCCUCGAUAAACCCGAGUCCGGACCUCAACUUCGGAGGCGUCCUCUUCCCCAGGACUCACAACAAUCGGAGCCCAAAAUCGCCGCCACCUCCUCCUACAAUCGGAACUCCGGUCCACCCCGCCGGGCCUCCCCUCCACUGCGCAGUUAUAUGGGCUGAUUGUUUUGAAAAAUAAACCUCAAGAAAAAGAUAAGGAGGUUCCUGUGACCAGCAUCUCGUUGCGAGCGAGAUUCGAGCCUCCUAGUCAUCACUCAUCGAACACCAUUUUGAGGAAAGGAGGAAAGACCUUCUGACCUCUUAAGAGAUCAGGGAUGCCUCCG